AUACUAUGGUGUCGGGCCUGUUUAUCACAUGCCAGGGUCAUGGAUCAGUUUGAAUACAUCAAAAUACUUGCAGAUGUGCAUGUUUCCUUUGAACCAAAGAG